rnacentral:rRNA from 1 species
UGAUCUCAAAUCAGGUAGGACUACCCGCUGAACUUAAGCAUAUCAAUAAGCGGAGGAAAAGAAACUAACAAGGAUUCCCCUAGUAACUGCGAGUGAAGCGGGAAGAGCUCAAAUUUAA